UCGGGAAUUUUGGGCAAUGGGCGAAAGCCUGACCCAGCAACGCCGCGUGAAGGAUGAAGUAUUUCGGUAUGUAAACUUCGUAAGAAUAGGAAGAAUAAAUGACGGUACUAUUUGUAAGGUCCGGCUAACUACGUGCCAGCAGCCGCGGUAAUACGUAGGGACCAAGCGUUGUUCGGAUUUACUGGGCGUAAAGGGUGCGUAGGCGGUGUGUCAAGUCAGUUGUGAAAUCUCCGAGCUUAACUCGGAACGGUCAACUGAUACUGUCACACUAGAGUACAGAAGGGGCAAUCGGAAUUCUUGGUGUAGCGGUGAAAUGCGUAGAUAUCAAGAGGAACACCUGAGGCGAAGGCGGGUUGCUGGGCUGAUACUGACGCUGAGGCGCGAAAGCUAGGGUAGCAAACGGGAUUAGAUACCCCCGUAGUCCCUGAGCGGGCUGGCAAGGCGCAU
rnacentral:rRNA from 1 species